UACGGAGGGUGCAAGCGUUAUCCGGAUUCACUGGGUUUAAAGGGUGCGUAGGUGGGUCUGUAAGUCCGUGGUGAAAUCUCCGAGCUUAACUUGGAAACUGCCAUGGAUACUAUAGGUCUUGAAUACUGUGGAGGUCAGCGGAAUAUGUCAUGUAGCGGUGAAAUGCUUAGAUAUCAGGAGGAACACCGGUGGCGAAGGCGGCUACCUGGACAGAGUCUGACGCUGAGGCGCGAAAGCGUGGGUAGCAAACGGG
rnacentral:rRNA from 1 species